rnacentral:rRNA from 1 species
ACUCCUACGGGAGGCAGCAGUGGGGAAUAUUGCACAAUGGGCGAAAGCCUGAUGCAGCAACGCCGCGUGAGGGACGAAGGCCUUCGGGUUGUAAACCUCUUUUAGUAGGGAAGAAGCGGAAGUGACGGUACCUGCAGAAAAAGCACCGGCUAACUACGUGCCAGCAGCCGCGGUAAUACGUAGGGUGCAAGCGUUGUCCGGAAUUAUUGGGCGUAAAGAGCUCGUAGGCGGUUUGUCGCGUCUGCUGUGAAAACCCGAGGCUCAACCUCGGGCCUGCAGUGGGUACGGGCAGACUAGAGUGCGGUAGGGGAGACUGGAAUUCCUGGUGUAGCGGUGGAAUGCGCAGAUAUCAGGAGGAACACCAAUGGCGAAGGCAGAUCUCUGGGCCGUAACUGACGCUGAGGAGCGAAAGCAUGGGGAGCGAACAGGAUUAGAUACCCUGGUAGUCCAUGCCGUAAACGUUGGGAACUAGAUGUGGGGACCAUUCCACGGUCUCCGUGUCGCAGCUAACGCAUUAAGUUCCCCGCCUGGGGAGUACGGCCGCAAGGCUAAAACUCAAAGGAAUUGACGGGGGCCCGCACAAGCGGCGGAGCAUGCGGAUUAAUUCGAUGCAACGCGAAGAACCUUACCAAAGGCUUGACAUAUAGAGGAAACGGCUGGAAACAGUCGCCCCGCA